rnacentral:rRNA from 1 species
UGGUGCCAGCAGCCGCGGUAAUUCCAGCUCCAAUAGCGUAUAUUAAAGUUGUUGCAGUUAAAAAGCCCGUAGUUGAACUUCAGGCCUGGUGGGGUGGUCCGCUUAACGGCGUGUACUGCUCUGCUGGGUCUUACCUCUUGGUGAGCCGGCGUGGCCUUCACUGGUUGCGUCGGGGAACCAGGACUUUUACCUUGAGAAAAUUAGAGUGUUCAAAGCAGGCCUAUGCCUGAAUACAUUAGCAUGGAAUAAUAAAAUAGGACGUGCGGUUCUAUUUUGUUGGUUUCUAGAGUCGCCGUAAUGAUUAAUAGGGAUAGUUGGGGGCAUUGGUAUUGAGUCGCUAGAGGUGAAAUUCUUGGAUUGACUCAAGACCGACUACUGCGAAAGCAUUUGCCAAGGAUGUUUUCAUUAAUCAAGGACGAAGGUUAGGGGAUCGAAAACGAUCAGAUACCGUUGUAGUCUUAACAGUAAACUAUGCCGACUAGGGAUCGGGCGACCUCAAAUUUGAUGUGUCGCUCGGCACCUUACGAGAAAUCAAAGUUUUUGGGUUCUG